AUUAAGUUCAUUUUUCAGUUUUUAGAUACAAUGUUUUGACUCUCCAUAUUAUUUGAAAUAUUUUUGUGAUUAAUAUUUUUGCUGUUAAUAGAUGGUAAAACAUGAAUAAUACUUUAUGUGUGACUAAUUUUUUAAGUUUUGUAUAAAUUUUUCAAAAUAGUCAAAGCGUUGGAUACAGAAAUCAAAAAACGAAGUUAUU
rnacentral:pre_miRNA from 1 species